GACGAACGCUGGCGGCGUGCUUAACACAUGCAAGUCGAACGGUGAAGGGAUCAGCUUGCUGGUUCUGGAUGAGUGGCGAACGGGUGAGUAACACGUGAGUAACCUGCCCCCUUCUUCUGGAUAACCGCAUGAAAGUGUGGCUAAUACGGGAUAUUCUGCGCCUGCUGCAUGGUGGGUGUGGGAAAGAUAUUGUUUCGGUUGGGGAUGGGCUCGCGGCCUAUCAGCUUGUUGGUGGGGUGAUGGCCUACCAAGGCGGUGACGGGUAGCCGGCGUGAGAGGGGGGACGGUCACAGGGGGACUGAGAAAAGGCCCAGAGUCAUACGGGAGGGAGCAGUGGGGAAUAUUGCAGAAUGGGAGAAAGCCUGAUGCAGCGACGCCGCGUGAGGGAAGGAGGCGUUCGGGUUGUGAACCUCUUGGGCGAGUGAAGCAGGCCUGCCCGUUGUGGGUGGGUUGACGGUAGCUGGAUAAGAAGCGCCGGCUAACUACGUG
rnacentral:rRNA from 1 species